GCUCGGUGCUCGGAAGGGAGACGGGGACGUAAUCGAACGUCAUUCAACAAAGACAAGGGACGAGAAAGAAUCGGAUGGGGGAUGCGGGGCGGGGGGAGGGAGGGAGAGAAGAGGCCGAUUAAGGGAAAGGAAACCGGACAGCAUACGUGAAUCUGGGGUAGGGGGGGAGAUUGCACCAUUUCCCCCCAUUUUUUAAAAAAAAUGGAAAUACAUGGAGAAAAUCUUGAUGGGCCCAUUCACGGUUCGCAGGGCAUCAAGGCCGCCAUCCUAUGCGGUGGGAGGAAGCACGGCUGAUUCCUGGAGGACUUCCUUCCGAGGAAACAUGCCGGUGCAACACACACACACCCCGGAAUUGUAGAACAGUUUCGUGGGGGGGGGGUGUUGAAUCUAUGUCCGGAGAAGAGCCUGGCGGUCUGCCCCAACUCACAAGGAUUUCCCUUAUAUAUAUAUCAUAUAGGCGAUCUUGUGCAUAAGUUUCCCCGCUCAAAUAAAUAGAUAAAUCCCACACACACCAAGUGACUCCCCCGUUUGAAACUAACGCACAGCUAAGGAGAUUUGGGGUGAGGGUGGUGUGUGGGAGAGGAAAAGUUUCACACACAUGCAGGCGCGCGCGCACGCAUCUCUAUAGUUGACUAAUCUAUUAUGACAAACAAUAUGAUGGAUAUAGUUUAUGUUAAUCGCCAUGCCCUUUCCUCUAGAAUUUAACUGUAAGUUAAUGGACACCGGAAACUAGAAUUCUACAUGGCUUGCUAAUGGGUUUAGGUAUUAGCAAGUUCUAACGAUGCAUACAAAUGCACUUGUCUCUGUAGGCUGUCUUAAGAUUUAUGGCUCUUUUGCCUUCUGUAGCUGUAAACAAGGGGGGGGGAGAGAGAAGAGAAAGAGAGAGAAAGGGGAAAGAAAUCCCAGCCCCUGUGCAAUUUAGCACCUCCAAGGAGCCGUUUCUUUCACUUUCUUCCUUUAUUUAAAGAAAUACCCCAGGUUGUGGGAGGGAGUUUUGAUUCCGUCUGCAACUUUCCUCGCCCCCCUCCCUACUAAAAUGCUCGUCUGUUGGGCUUCAUUAUGUUCUUACGUUCCCCUUGCCCACGCUUCCAUCAAGGGGGACAAGGCACUGAAACCCACUUAGAAAGUCAUAAUGGCCAUAAUAAAGACUCCGCUGCAAACGGGCUUUCGACUCCUACACGACGGCGAUGAAGGAUGAUUGACCCGAAACCACGAAGAUCUCGCUUAGUUUGGCUGGGGAAGGAAGAGGAGGAGGAGGAGGAGGAGGAAGAGAAGAAGAAGAACGCCGUGUGUGUACCCAAAGGAAAAAAUAUACUGGGGUGUCUCUGUCGAAAGGGUUGCGAGACGGUUGCCCAAGCCUGGUCGAUCCGUUGGACAGAGGAACAAAAUAAGGACGCAUAUAUCGAAAUUAUUUCAUUGAUGAGUAUAUUGUUUUGUGGAAUGCAUUAUUAUUAUUAUUGUUAUUGUUAUUAUUAGGAUGGGCCCGGGGUGGGGAGAAGAUCCAGGAAGGUCUAAAAGAAGAAGAAAUUAGUAGGGAAUUGAUUGUGUUUGCUUGGAGACGGGUGGGAACCGCUUGCGAAGGUUUUGUCAGUCUUUGGGCAACGGGCAAUCUAGCAACGGGGUGAAAACGUUCUCUCGGAAGCAGAACCCAAAGUUCGCAAGUUGAUAAAGAAAAAGAAGGGGAAUUAACCGGCCUGCUCCCUUCCUUAGGGUUUAUUAGCUUUCCGCACUUGCGCACCAACCGUCUCCAGCAAAUUUAUAUUUAGCCAGGCCUCUAAUGUAUGUUUCAGCGGCGAGAAAAACAAUCAAAUCCUUUUCAUCGAUGUGUAACUUCGUUUUAACUUGGAUUUAAAACAUCGUUUAGCCUCUGCUUACAUUUAGAAGUGCGUGGGGUUGUUGUUUUUUAAAUCGCUGUUCCAUCCCAUCCUCACUUCCAAAUUAACUUAUAGGGGUUUUUUUUGAGAGGGAGGGCAGAGUUAUGAGGCAUUUGAUCAAAGCGAUUUACAUCGACCGGACCGCUUGACGGUUUUGCCAGGAUCUUAUCUGAGAUCUGAUCUUUAACAGAACCAACGCAAUAUUGUUUGUGUUCCCGUCCGGGGAUUGUUUCCUUAUCAUAAUCGCUUAUUGACAAGAAACGGAAUUAGUUUUCAUUUAUGCUUAACACAUUACUUUUUUAAUUUUAUUUUUUUAAAAGGGGGGCGUAAUGAUUUCUAGAGAUAGUGGGAUGCAUGUCAGAGGAGUUCGUUUGCUAGCCAAAGUUAUGGCUUUGUCACAUAAUGUAUGCUAGAUAUUUGCAGGAGUGCAUCACGAAUACAAGCUCUAAGGUACUAAAGGGAAGGAAGGAAGGAGAGAGAGAGAAGGAAAGAAGGAGAAAGAAAGAAAGAAAGAAAGAAAGAAAGAAAGAAAGAAAGAAAGAAAGAAAGAAAGAAAGAAAGAAAGAAAGAAACCAUGCAGUCCAAUUCUAUGCAUCUUUCCUGGCAAGAAAGUCCGACUAAGUUCAGUGGAGCUUACUGACUCCCAAAUAAGAGAUUUUGCUGCCUUCCUAGAUAUUUCCUUUUUCUUUUUUAAAAAAAUAUUCAUCCUUCUUCCAGGUAACUAGUUACUCUUUUUUUAAGUUAAACUCAGGAGCCCAGAAACCUAGCACGCUGGAUUUCAAAGAAUGGCAAGAAUUAAAAUGCCCUUUGCAGCAUACAUUUAUGUUAAAGAGAGGGGGUAGGCAGGCCCUCCCUCGUUUCGAAAAGUUGAGGGAGAUGGUCGGUGUGGUUUUUCGAUGAAAUGCAAGAUUUUCAAAAACUGAAAUGCCCUAUUGGCUGAUUUGCACCUGCUGAUCGCAGGGAUGCUACCCGUUCUGGCGGUGCUCUGAUCCAGAAAGGGACUGAAGCAUAAAUCGUGGAAGCAAAAGUCUCCUUUCCGAGUGUCCUAAAAGAAGGUCUAACUUUAACUUGGCACACACACCUCUCCCGCGAAUCCCCGCGCCCCAACGAUGUAUUUAACAUUUACAAAACUAAGAGGGCAUCUUCAAGAUCACUUGAAGCAAAUUAAAUAUGCCUGAGUGAGUCGGACCCUACGCGCUCCCUGUGUAAAGUACCUCGCUGGGCCAGGACGAUCCUAGGAAAAAAAUUAAGUAGAUCGUGCAAGAAUGAAAGUCAGCCCACCUCAGACAGACCAAUCUGUUUUGGGAGAUUCAUAAAAUGCACUUGGUGUUUACAGAUUAACGGCGCGAUCCUAGGCUUGCUUACUCCGAAGUAAACCCUGCUGUGUUCUCCUAACUUGCUUCCAGGAAAGUGGGCGUUGGACUGCAGUUGGCUAUCUAUCUAUCUAUCUAUCUAUCUAUCUAUCUAUCUAUCUAUCUAUCUAUCUAAUCUAUCUAUCUAUCUAUCCCAGAACAGAGUAAAAACAAACAAUUACUGAACCAAAAAUAAGACAAAAAGGGGUCUGGGGCUAGGCUGGUUAUUCCAGUCACUUGAAACGAGCCUGCAUUACUUGGAACGCUCGCUUUGAGAAUAAUAAAAUAUUUAAAACUCCAAGUCAACCUUUUUCCUAUUUAUUGCCGUGUAUAAUUCAACAUUAUCGCGUAUUAAUAAGCCAAUAAUGAUAAUCUCUAUAGGAAAAGCAUGCUAGCUGGGCCGCUUUUAUGGCCGCCCUUAUCCUUUCUAAUGACCUUUGGCUCAGCAGAGUAAUAACUCAUUACGGAAUGAGCAAUUGUCUGGAGUGCCUUAAAUACCUCGCGAUCUCUCUCUCUCCCUCCCUCCCCCUCUACACGCCGGACACUUCCAAGAAGAGGUACUGUGUGUGAGAGUGUAUGAUGGAAUCGUCUUCCCUGUCUUGAGACAGCUUGGAGGGAAAGGAAGAGGAGGAAGGGCCACAAAGAGAGUCUUCUUCAGUUCCCUGUGCAGCUGUGCCAUAGAAGAAGCCAGAGGACUUCUUGGUGAUAAAGGUGCUGUUCAGCUGGUUUUUCUGGAUCUUGUCAUUUUAUGCUCCCCUGUCUCUUUUGGCAACAGCAACUCCCAAGUAGCAGCACCCGCUGUUGACAAAUAAACAAUUAAAUAAAUAAAUGAUGCUGCCAUCAUGACAAUGGCCUACGAUCAAGCCUCAAAAUGCCAUCGUGAAGUGAGUCGCUAUCCUGCAAACACACACCCAUCUUCCCAGUGUAUAAAAUCCAUAUACUGUAGUAGGACAGGCCCAUGUCCAUGUGUGUAGAAUUGUGACUCACUUCUCAAUGGUGUUCUGAAGAUAGAUGCGACAAAGAUCGCAGGCUGUUGCGAUGAAGGUAGUAGUGGUGUCGGCAGUAGAGCAGAACAACAGUACUACUCCAAGCAAAAUGCUCUCAGUCUCGCCUUCAUCUUUAUUAUAUCAUAUCAUAUAAUUCAUAUUUUAUAUAAUUUAAUAUAAUAUAUAAUUUAAAGCAGCAAUGCUGGAAUUUGAACCCAAGCUCAUCCAGUCCAGUUGGAAGAGGCUGAGUCAGGCAAGGUAGCUAUGCAGAUGAAAGGGUUGGGUGGUGGUGCAUGCAGAGAUGGGAUUUAUUGCAAAGUUAUAGGAUGUACUUUAUUGCCUUCCCCUCAUUCGUAUGGGUGUAAAAAAAAAAUUGAACUUUUAAGGAAAUUCAAUCCAAUUGCCUUGUAAGAUAUGCAAGACUGAAAUGUGCCUUUCUUUUCUUUUAACUCCUUGUUGAAAGAUGUUAGUUAUUUUAAAAUUGUUUCCAGUUAUAUUAAAGACAAAUUGAAAAGCAAAACAUAGUCUUAGUAGUGUUCUUCUCCCCCCAUCCCUUUCAGGAUUUCAGAUCUCAAUCCUAUGUGUACACACCCAAAACAGAGAGAGAGAGAGACCUGAGCUCAGGCCUUAUAGAUUUGCCUUAAACGCUUUGAAUGCAGACAUGGUUUUCCUAGGGAAAUCAAAGUGAUUUGCUUAGGUGAGGCCAUGAGUUUUCCCGCCUCUUUUUUCUUUUCUUUUCUUUUUUGGAAAACAUAUAUUUUGUAUAAAAACAGUAAACAAAAUAGCCCACCAACAACUGUACACAUAUGGCUAAAGUCCUCCCCAGAUAAUUUUAUAGGAAGUUAAAUACAAGUCACCUUGCUGUGACAGAAACUCAUAAACAUUUUUGAAUAUCUGAUAUGCAUAGAAACCGAUCUUGUUUAAAAACCUAUGCUAUUCUCUCUAACCCAAAUGAAAGCAAAUAGGAAAAACAUGGGAUUAAUGUAUGGCUAGGUGGCUAUUGCCCCCAUGGUAUCCUGAACAUCAGUGUCCCUCAGACUUGGUGACUAAAAGUAUUGGGACUGAAAGUAUUGGGUGCAUGGACAUUUAAGCUGUAAGUAAUCACAAUACGUAAGGCUGUAGAACAUAUUUACUGCUUACACAGUGCAGAUGUUAAAGCAGGUGCCUUAACAUGCAACCCCCACACCUUAUAUUAUUAUUUUUAGUGCAUGUGGAGUAAACUCUUUUGCUACUACAGUACUGGAUAGGAAUGGAAAACAGAUGCAUAAACCCAUAAAGGGAAUAGUUAAAUUGCCAGUGUAUAAAUCGUGGGUCAAAGAGUAGGUAGAGUGUCC